UGGGGAAUCUUGGACAAUGGGCGCAAGCCUGAUCCAGCCAUGCCGCGUGAGUGACGAAGGCCUUAGGGUUGUAAAGCUCUUUUGGCGGGGAAGAUAAUGACGGUACCCGCAGAAUAAGCUCCGGCUAACUUCGUGCCAGCAGCCGCGGUAAUACGAAGGGAGCUAGCGUUGUUCGGAAUCACUGGGCGUAAAGCGCACGUAGGCGGAUGUGUCAGUCAGGGGUGAAAUCCCGGAGCUCAACUUCGGAACUGCCCUUGAUACAGCACGUCUUGAGUCCGAUAGAGGUGGGUGGAAUUCCUAGUGUAGAGGUGAAAUUCGUAGAUAUUAGGAAGAACACCGGUGGCGAAGGCGGCCCACUGGAUCGGUACUGACGCUGAGGUGCGAAAGCGUGGGGAGCAAACAGGAUUAGAUACCCCUGUAGUCCCUGAGCGGGCUGGCAAGGCGCAU
rnacentral:rRNA from 1 species